AACGAACGCUGGCGGCAGGCUUAACACAUGCAAGUCGAACGGGUGUAGCAAUACAUCAGUGGCAGACGGGUGAGUAACACGUGGGAACCUUCCUAGGGGUACGGAACAACUCAGGGAAACUUGAGCUAAUACCGUAUACGUCCGUGAGGAGAAAGAUUUAUCGCCCUUAGACGGGCCCGCGUCGGAUUAGCUAGUUGGUGGGGUAACGGCCUACCAAGGCGACGAUCCGUAGCUGAUCUGAGAGGAUGAUCAGCCACACUGGGACUGAGACACGGCCCAGACUCCUACGGGAGGCAGCAGUGGGGAAUCUUGGACAAUGGGCGCAAGCCUGAUCCAGCCAUGCCGCGUGAGUGAAGAAGGCCUUCGGGUUGUAAAGCUCUUUUGCCAGGGACGAUAAUGACGGUACCUGGAGAAUAAGCCCCGGCAAACUUCGUGCCAGCCGCCGCCGUAA
rnacentral:rRNA from 1 species